CCGUCGAAAUGACUGGAAAUCAU
rnacentral:snRNA from 1 species